ACUAACGCAUGGUGUGGAUGCCUUGACUGAAGCAAGCGAUGAAGGACGUAGGAGGCUGCGAAAAGCCUCGGGGAGCUGUCAACCAAGCUGUGAUCCGGGGAUAUCCGAAUGAGGAAACUCCUCUGGCUUUACGCCGGAGAUCGUACUCUGAAUACAUAGGGGUACGAAGCGCACCCUGGGAAUUGAAACAUCUCAGUACCAGGAGGAAUAGAAAUCAAUAGAGAUUCCGAGAGUAGUGGCGAGCGAAAUCGGAAAAGCCUAAACCAAAGAGCUUGCUCUUUGGGGUUGCAAGGCUCACGUACUCGUUUAAUCGGGGUUUGUCGAUUUUUCUUAGCAGAACAGUCUGGAAAGACUGACCAGAGGGGGUAAUAGUCCCGUAUGCGAAAAGAAAGAUUGCCAGAUGCGUGGGUUCUUAAGUAGGGCGGGGCCGGAGAAACCCCGUUUGAAUCCGGGAGCACUAACUCCCAAGGCUAAAUAUUGCUUCAGAUCGAUAGUGAACUAGUACCGUGAGGGAAAGGUGAAAAGCAUCCCGAUAAGGGAGGUGAAAUAGAACUGAAACUCCAUGCUAACGAAGAGUUGGAGCCCUGACGCAAGUCGGGGUGACAGCGUGCUUUUUGCAGCACGAUCCAACGAGUUAGUUCUGCGCGGCUGUCUAAGGGGUGAAGAGCUCUGGAGACACAGUGAAAGCGAGCCUGAAUAGGGCGUUUGGAGCAUGCACGAAGAAUCUGUAUCGGUAUGGAUUUUUCGUGCAUGCUCCCAGGUCGCGUGGACUAGACCCGAAGCCAGACGAGCUACACAUGAGCAGGGUGAAGCGUCAGUAAAAUGACGUGGAGGCCCGAACCCACUAGUCGUUCGACUCUAGGGGAUGACUUGUGUGUAGGGGAGAAAUUCCAAUCGAGUUUGGCAAUAGCUGGUUCUCUCCGAAAUAGCUUGAGGGCUAGCGUCCGGACAAAUAUACCCGAGGGGUAGAGCUACUGGAUGAGGUGUCGCCGUAAGGUAGGCUCUUCAACCAAACUCCAAAUACUCGUGGUACGUACCCGGGCAGUCAGUAUUACGGGGCUAAGCUCGUAGUACAAAAGGGAAACAGCCCAGACCGUCAGCUAAGGUCCCGAAAUCUUUGCUCAGUGGGAAAGGCAGUGAAGGCUCUUAGACACUUAGGAGGUUGGCUUAGAAGCAGCCACCCUUUAAAGAGUGCGUAAUAGCUCACUAAUCUAGAGCCUUUGCGCCGAUAAUGUAACGGGGCUCAAGCAAAGUACCGAAGCUACGGAUUGCAUCGUAAGAUGCAGUGGUAGGAGAGCGUCCCAUACGCGCUGAAGCGGGAGGGUAACCGACCGUGAAGUGUAUGGAAGUGAGAAUGUUGGAAUGAGUAACCGCAAGGCAGGUGAGAUCCCUGCCCGCCGAAAAUCCAAGGUUUCCUGGGCUAUGUUGAUCAUCCCAGGGUGAGUCGGUCCUAAGGCGAGGCUGAAAGGCGUAGUCGAUGGACAAGAGGUUAAUAUUCCUCUACUGCGUAUAUAUUCGAUGGAGUGACGCAUCUCUGUACCUCUUGCCCCUUAUUGGAUUGGGGUUUAGGUCUUGAGGAUGUCAUAUAGGCAAAUCCGUAUGACAAUAAUCCGAGAGAUCCGACGAUUCCGGUAGCGAUACCGGGAAAGAAGAGGGAGCGGGGUGCCAGGAAAAGCUUCUAAGGUUCAUAUAUACGUAACCGUACCGCAAACCGACACAGGUGGAUUGGUCGAGAAGACUAAGGCGAACGGGAGAGUAUUCGUUAAGGAACUAGGCAAAAAAGCUAGGCGUAAGUUUGCAAUAUGCCUUGCCGGUUCUCUUCGGAGAGUCGGCCGCAGCGAAAGUUUUCCAAGCGACUGUUUACCAAAAACACAGCUCUCUGCAAACCCGUAAGGGGAAGUACAGGGGGUGACACCUGACCAGUGCUAGCUCGUUAACGGGAGCGGUUCACGCCAAUCCCCGAAGCGCUAGUGAACGUCGGCGAUAACUAUAAUCGUCCUAAGGUUCCGGAAAUUUCCUCGGAAGUUUUCGGAAGGACUGGGACGGUUAUAGGAAUGUGUGAAGAAAUGUGGAAGAAAAGGAAAAGUAAUUGCUUCUUUCGGAGAAAUCCGGAAGGUCCAAAAAUACUUAGCCAUAUGCUGGAACAUCUGGAGUAUCUGAUGAUACUAUGGUAAAAUUAUUCCAUAGAAAUAUGGAAGAGUGAUGCCGAGUGAAAAAUCAAUCAGUGUGUCUCGCUUCAAUCGUGAGACGCCAGACAAUCAGCAGGAAAGACUGAAGACCGUUGGCUGGGUCAUCGGGUAUGUGGAUGGGGAAGGAUGUUUUUCAGUGAGUCUGCUCAGGAAUACCACCACGAAAAGUGGUUGGCAGACAUUUCCGGAGUUUGUGGUGACACAAAGCGGAAAGAGUAAGGCUUCAUUGGAAAUAUUGCGAGAUUUCUUCGGAUGCGGGAAGAUAUUUGUGAAUCGACGGUAUGAUAACCACCGAGAGCACAUCUAUCGAUACUGUGUCCGAUCACAAGAGGAACUUCGCGAAAAGAUCAUUCCUUUCUUUAUGGAAAAUCCGCUCCGAACCGCCAAGCAAAAAGAUUUCGAGCAUUUUUCUUUUAUCCUCAAUCAGAUGAGACUCAAGCGACAUCUGACGGAGACUGGUAUGCAUAUGAUUGCCAGAAGGAUUGAGAAAAUGAAUCACAAGAAAGCUUCCCGGUUUUUAGAAUCCUCAGAGACCAAAUGCUAAGCGCGUAAUCGAUACGUGAAAAGAGAGUCCGUGCUCAUCGGCGACGAUGAGAAUAACACUACAGAGCGAAAUUCCUUGACAGGUAAGUUCUGUCCCGCAUGAAAGGUGUAACGAUUUGGAAACUGUCUCAACGAACAUCCCGGUGAAAUUGCAAUGACGGUAAAGAUGCCGUCGACCUGCAGCAAGACGAAAAGACCCCAUGGAG
rnacentral:rRNA from 1 species